AAAUCCGAUAAAGGGAAGGAAAAAGUGAUCGAAUAGCCGUUGAAGCCGUUCGACAACAUCCGAGAUUUUGCUCGUUAGCGAUCGGAUUCGGGAUCAUUAAAGUCGAAGUCAUCUACACUAUCAAAGCCUCCAUUUUGGUAUAAUUUUGGUUGAACUUUGAAAUGGCAUGUAUAGGACUACCCUAUUGUUGAAGGUCAUGUACCUUUCGGUUUUGUGUAAACUUGGAUAGCCAUGCAAAAAUGGCUUAUAUACGUUUUUGGUAUGA